UUGGAGGGCAAGUCUGGUGCCAGCAGCCGCGGUAAUUCCAGCUCCAAUAGCGAAUAUUAAAGUUGUUGCAGUUAAAAAGCUCGUAGUUGAAUUUCGGGGUCAGUAGAUUGGUCAUGCCACUGGUAUGUACUGGUCUCACUGAUUCCUCCUUCCUGAUGAGCCGUAAUGCCAUUAAUUUGGUGUUGCGAGGAAUCUGGACUGUUACUUUGAAAAAAUUAGAGUGUUUAAAGCAGGCUAACGCUUGAAUACAUUAGCAUGGAAUAAUGAAAUAGGACGUUCGAUCUUAUUUUGUUGGUUUCUAAGAUUGACGUAAUGAUUAAUAGGGAUAGUUGGGGGCAUUAAUAUUCAAUUGUCAGAGGUGAAAUUCUUGGAUUUAUUGAAGACUAACUACUGCGAAAGCAUUUGCCAAGGAUGUUUUCAUUAAUCAAGAACGAAAGUUAGGGGAUCGAAGACGAUCAGAUACCGUCGUAGUCUUAACCAUAAACUAUGCCGACUAGGGAUCGGAUGAUGUUAAUUUUUUAAUGACUCAUUCGGCGCCUUACGGGAAAC
rnacentral:rRNA from 1 species